AUUUUGGGUCCCUUUCCACUCACAAGUCACAAUCCUCGUUUCCAAAGACGAAAAUCCUCCUCCGCUAAUCCUCGUCGCCGACGCCUCCACCUCCUGCCUCGCCGGACGCCUGCUGCCGGCUGCCCUGCUCUGCUGCAAUCGAUAGUCGUCCUCCACCUCCAGUCUCGGCUGACGCUGUUGCCGGCUGCCCUGCUCCGCCGCUAAUCCUCAUCGCCGGACGCCUGCUGCAGUCGAACUCUAAGAAUGUCUUGGAUGGUUAUAAUGGAACACUCAUGGCAUACGGGCAAACUGGGACAGGGAAAACUUGCACUCUGGGACGGUUGGGAGAAGAAGAUACCGCUGACCCUGGGAUAAUGGUGAGUGCAAUGGAAGAUAUUCUUGCUGAAAUAUCACUGGAGACUGAAACAGUUUCUGUAUCUUACUUGCAGGAUUGGUGGUGGAUAUCCCCUGACUCAUGCCUCACCAAGUUGGUCUUCUUGGCAAACUCCAUUCUUCACUGUUUAGAGAAUGCCGACGAUCAAUGACCACCAGCAAGAGAGUGCAAGACCGGAGCAAGAAGAAGCGAGUGCAUGACCUUGAAAUUAUUGUAGAGAAGCACAAAAUUCUCUCCAAAAUCCUCUUCAUACUUGAAACUCUGAAGCAAGAGUCCGAGCAAAUCAUCCCUGUACGUUCCCUUGAUCAGUACCGGAGGCAAAUUAACCUCCCAAAACCUCACAAGUUCUCAGUUUUCCUUCGGAAAUGUCCCAAGCUUUUUGAGCUUUAUAAGGACCAGAGGGGAAUUUUAUGGUGCGGAAUGACUAAAGAAGCUGAAAAUCUGCUGCAUGAAGAGGAAGAACUCAUAGAAAAGAAUAGUGAUAAGGCUGCAGAGUUUGUGACUCGGAUGCUAAUGAUGUCAAUUGGUAAGCGUAUUAGUCUGGAUAAGAUUGUGCAUUUCAGGAGGGAUAUAGGGCUGCCACUGGAUUUUAGGAGCCAUUGGGUGCACAAAUAUCCCGAAUAUUUUCGAGUUGUGAGGCCUUUUGUGCCUUAUGAUGAGGGUGAGUAUUUGGAACUUGUGAAUUGGAAGUCUAGUUGGGCAAUUACUGAGUUGGAAAAGAAGGUGCUGGGUGUUAGCAAGGCCCCCGAAGAUUAUGUUCCAGGUUUUCUUUCUCUGUCUUUCCCAAUGAAGUUCCCACCUAACUAUAAGAAGCUGUCCAAGUACAGAGGUCAGAUUGAGAACUUCCAGAACAGGGAGUAUUUGUCCCCUUAUGCAGAUGCUAGUGGAUUAAAGGCUGGGUCACAGGAAUUUGAUAAGAGGGCAGUGGCUGUGAUGCAUGAAUUGCUUAGUUUUAUGAUUGAGAAGAGGCUUGUGACAGAUCAUUUGACACAUUUUAGGAGGGAGUUUGUGAUGCCUCAGAAGCUUAUGAGACUAUUGCUCAAGCAUUUUGGCAUCUUUUAUGUUUCAGAGAGAGGGAGGAGAUUUAAUGUGUUCCUGAACGAGCCUUAUGAAGGUUCAGAGUUGGUUGAGAAACAUCCUCUGGUUGUUUGGAAAGAAAAGGUUCUUAGCCUUGUUGGCUACAGAAAGAAGAAAGAUAAAGAAGAGACCUUGGAGGAUUUACAAGAAAGUGACACGGACUUAUUUGAGAUUGAUUCGGAAGAUUAUAGUGUUCAAUUAGCACAUGAGAAUGAGGAGGAGGAGAUGAGUGGUUUGGAGAGUGAUUCAAUUGAAAGUGACUCUGAAAUGGAGAUUGAAGAGAUUUACAAUGCAUAUAAAGUAUCUGAAUGAAGCCGUUCUAGUUUAACUGGCCUAGGGAUUCUUUAUUGCGGUCUGCUAUAUCUACAGUUGGCAAUCUACCUGCAGUCUUCUAAUGCUUUAAAAUUCUUAGGCCAGUAAUCGGUGAUGGAUCAUGAAAGUUACCAGAAAUUCAACACAUUAUGCAGUCAACUGGAUUAUGAUUUCGAAACUAUAAGUUAUCAUCCAUCGCUCAGAAAGUGCAUGUAGAUGUCAACAGCCUCAGUAACACAUCAAGGUUUAGGUAAUCGAGUGAUCAUUUGUUCCUUCGUUCUUGUUUGCACUAACAUAUUAUGAUACCCAGUGAAAAUUUUGACGUUUUGGACAAUGAAAUGCUGGUAGUUAUAUAGCUAAAAAGAUUACCAGCUCAGACUUGUGAAAUGGGUAUACGAAUGACUGAAUGAGUAUAGUGUUUUUUUGGUUUCAAUAUUUCUGUGUAUUUUUUUAGAGUUGAAAGGAUACUGCCCAGAAAAAUGUAUUAACCAAUAGUUUUUAUGUUCAUGUAACUUCUUAGUAGUAUUUACAAGGUUGAUUUUAUUUUCAAACUUGAAAGAAAUGGCUUUAGGCAUUAAGAGAAUUAUUUAUUUUGUACAAUAAAUAAACUUUUGUUUAUUUUAA